rnacentral:rRNA from 1 species
GGCUCAGGACGAACGCUGGCGGCGUGCUUAACACAUGCAAGUCGAACGAUGAAGCCCUUCGGGGUGGAUUAGUGGCGAACGGGUGAGUAACACGUGGGCAAUCUGCCCUUCACUCUGGGACAAGCCCUGGAAACGGGGUCUAAUACCGGAUAACACCUGCCCGGGCAUCUGGGUGGGUUAAAAGCUCCGGCGGUGAAGGAUGAGCCCGCGGCCUAUCAGCUUGUUGGUGAGGUAGUGGCUCACCAAGGCGACGACGGGUAGCCGGCCUGAGAGGGCGACCGGCCACACUGGGACUGAGACACGGCCCAGACUCCUACGGGAGGCAGCAGUGGGGAAUAUUGCACAAUGGGCGAAAGCCUGAUGCAGCGACGCCGCGUGAGGGAUGACGGCCUUCGGGUUGUAAACCUCUUUCAGCAGGGAAGAAGCGAAAGUGACGGUACCUGCAGAAGAAGCGCCGGCUAACUACGUGCCAGCAGCCGCGGUAAUACGUAGGGCGCAAGCGUUGUCCGGAAUUAUUGGGCGUAAAGAGCUCGUAGGCGGCUUGUCACGUCGGGUGUGAAAGCCCGGGGCUUAACCCCGGGUCUGCAUUCGAUACGGGCUAGCUAGAGUGUGGUAGGGGAGAUCGGAAUUCCUGGUGUAGCGGUGAAAUGCGCAGAUAUCAGGAGGAACACCGGUGGCGAAGGCGGAUCUCUGGGCCAUUACUGACGCUGAGGAGCGAAA